GACGAACGCUGGCGGCGUGCUUAACACAUGCAAGUCGAACGGAAAGGCCCUGAUUUUGUGGGGUGAUCGAGUGGCGAACGGGUGAGUAACACGUGAGUAACCUGCCCUUGACUUUGGGAUAACUUAAGGAAACUGGGGCUAAUAUCGGAUAGGAGAUCAUGCUGCAUGGAGGGGGUUGGAAAGUUUCUGCGGUUGGGGAUGGACUCGCGGCUUAUCAGCUUGUUGGUGGGGUAGGGGCUUACCAAGGCUUUGACUGGUAGCCGGCCUGGGAGGGUGACCGGCCACAUUGGGACUGAGAUACGGCCCAGACGCCUACGGGAGGCAGCAGUGGGGAAUAUUGCACAAUGGGCGGAAGCCGGAUGCAGCAGCGCCGCGUUCGUGAUGACGGCCUUCGGGUUGUAAACCGCUUUCGCCUGUGACGAAGCGUGAGUGACGGUAAUGGAUAAAGAAGCACCGGCUAACUACGUG
rnacentral:rRNA from 1 species